UUUUGUCUCCGCAGAAGCUGGAAGCCAAAUCUCUCAUCAAGCUGAACUUUGCCAAAAACAACGACGGGAAAUACCACUGCCCGGUGCUUUUCACCGUCUUCACCAAUAACUCCCACAUCGUGGCCAUCAAGACCACCGGGAACGUCUUUGGUUUUGAGGCGGUUGAGCAGCUGAAUAUAAAAACCAAGACCUUUAAGGAUCUGUUGAGCGAUGAGCCCUUUUCCAGGCAAGAUAUUAUUACAUUGCAGGUAAAGUUUUAAAAAGAAUGAAACGGGUUUUGGUUUUGGCA